rnacentral:tRNA from 1 species
GAGGUUGUAGCUCAGGGGUAGAACACUUAUCUCACACAUGUGAGGCCCUGGGUUUGAUCCCCAGCACCACA